CCAUAUUUUGAACCCUUCCCACCUUUAGGAGCAGGGGCUUCCUCUAAGUUGCUCUGCUCCGUUUAAUUUUGAUCUAGUUGGGCCUGUGUGUCCUUGUGGUUUUCGGUUGUAAGUUUCCUUUUUCCUAUCCAAAAAAGAAAAAAGAAAAAGAAGUAAACAAGAAAGAUAUAAAUAAAUUAUUAUUUUGAAAUAAAAAUAAUAAAAAUCUCACCUCAUCUUCCCACCAUAAGCUCCAUAUCAAAUAUCAACGAAGCACACACGACAUUGUUCACUCGUCAGGCCUUUAGCAACCAAAACAAUGAAGGUGGAAGUGAAGCUCCG
rnacentral:lncRNA from 1 species